CCCUUUCCUCUCCCUCUUUCAGCAUGAUGAAACCCUUGCGCUUGCCCCUACUGUGAGGAACCAGCUAUGGACAAGUGAUGUGAGCUUGACUUUCCACAAAGGCAAUCAGGGGAGCCACAUUACAGCAGGACCUGCAAAGAUUCGUGUUUCUGUCUGGUGGCUGCAAGUGCAUUAACUCUUUCAUGUGAACUUCUCUGCAAGUGCCAUGAUUUCUUUUAUGCUGAGUUCAGUGGAACCCCAGAAAAUAAUACUAAGUCCAAGCACAAAGGGUUAACAACGUGCUGAGCUAGAGAUUGCUGCACUUCAGAAGCAAGUGAAUCUGCUGCGUGUUUGAAGCAACCAGCACAGGAAAACACUAAAUCCUCUGGAAAUAAGGUACAAAUUUUGUCAGAUAUUUUUGGCACGCUGCAUAAAAACUUUAAAGUGACAUUGGUGGCAUCCAAGUUAGCAAACACAUCUCCCAAAAAGCAGAUUUUUGUGUGAGGCUCCUCAGGUUGCAUUAACAAAAGGGAAAGGCAUCAAUACAUAUGUAAAUGUGACUCGGGUUUAGAAAAGCUGCUCUUGGUUUUACUGUCACCAUGCUAAAAGACAUUGUAAACUACAACAGACCCAUUUCCUACUGGUUGGCUUCCUUCUGUCACCAGAGCAAGUGGAGCAUGUGGCCCGCCAGAGGAUGAGAGCAAUGAAAUGAGGGCUGCUGUUAAUCAUUUACAGAAGGUCUUGUCCCAAGCUGAGGAGGUGCUCAGAGAUGAAACUCGUUGGAGAGAUUUUCCUGGACUUUGGAAAUCUCAAUGAUUGUUUAAACAUUUAUUAUGGAUUGCUAUGGUGCUCAAAGCAUACUUUGGGUUUUGGAUUAGGGAGCAAGCAUUAACACGAGGCUCUAAUUGAGGAACCCUGAGUCAGUUAUCGGAGCCUGUGAGGCCCAUUACCACAUUUUUCUCCAUCUGUAGUAAAUCCUGCAGGUCUCCUAGCAUUAUCAUUUUUAGUUAUUUGCUCUUAAAGAUGAGAACUGAUUCAAAAUGUUCACAAAGUCUGAGAUUAUAUGUGUAAAAAAAGAGCAGGCAAGUAACAUUUUCACUGAGCAGCAGUCCUUGAA